rnacentral:rRNA from 1 species
UUAGAGUGAGCGGCAAACGGGUGAGUAACGCGUGGGAAUCUACCCCUCUCUACGGAAUAACACAGAGAAAUUUGUGCUAAUACCGUAUACGUCCCCUCGGGGAGAAAGAUUUAUCGGAGAUGGAUGAGCCCGCGUUGGAUUAGCUAGUUGGUGAGGUAACGGCUCACCAAGGCGACGAUCCAUAGCUGGUCGGAGAGGAUGAUCAGCCACACUGGGACUGAGACACGGCCCAGACUCCUACGGGAGGCAGCAGUGGGGAAUAUUGGACAAUGGGGGCAACCCUGAUCCAGCCAUGCCGCGUGAGUGAUGAAGGCCCUAGGGUUGUAAAGCUCUUUCACCGGUGAAGAUAAUGACGGUAA